GAUGAACGCUAGCGGCAGGCUUAACACAUGCAAGUCGAGGGGCAGCAUAAAUAGUAGCAAUACUAUUGGUGGCGACCGGCGGACGGGUGCGUAAAGCGUAUACAACCUUACCUAAACAGGGGGAUAAUCUGGAGAAAUUCGGUCUAAUACCCCAUAACAUCAGAGCAGGCAUCUGUUUUGGUUUAAAUUUCCGGAGGUUUAGGAUGGGUAUGCGUAGCAUUAGCUAGUUGGUGAGGUAACGGCUCACCAAGGCGACGAUGCUUAGGGGGACUGAGAGGUUAACCCCCCACACUGGUACUGAGACACGGACCAGACUCCUACGGGAGGCAGCAGUGAGGAAUAUUGGUCAAUGGGCGGAAGCCUGAACCAGCCAUGCCGCGUGCAGGAUGACGGCUCUAUGAGUUGUAAACUGCUUUUGUACGAGGGUAAAGUGGGCUACGUGUAGCCUUUUGAAAGUAUCGUACGAAUAAGGAUCGGCUAACUCCGUGCCAGCCGCCGCCGUAA
rnacentral:rRNA from 1 species